GCUCCUGUGGCCUAGAGGCUAGAGCGUCCGCCUCUGAUGCGGGAGAUGGCGGGUUCGAAUGGUGCCAAUUAUCUCGCUAGGCGCU